CAGAGAGUAGUUUAAGUAGUAAAAUGCUGGCU
rnacentral:tRNA from 1 species